AGAGUUUGAUCCUGGCUCAGAUUGAACGCUGGCGGCAGGCCUAACACAUGCAAGUCGAACGGUAGCACAGAGAGCUUGCUCUCGGGUGACGAGUGGCGGACGGGUGAGUAAUGUCUGGGAAACUGCCUGAUGGAGGGGGAUAACUACUGGAAACGGUAGCUAAUACCGCAUAACGUCGCAAGACCAAAGAGGGGGACCUUCGGGCCUCUUGCCAUCAGAUGUGCCCAGAUGGGAUUAGCUAGUAGGUGGGGUAACGGCUCACCUAGGCGACGAUCCCUAGCUGGUCUGAGAGGAUGACCAGCCACACUGGAACUGAGACACGGUCCAGACUCCUACGGGAGGCAGCAGUGGGGAAUAUUGCACAAUGGGCGCAAGCCUGAUGCAGCCAUGCCGCGUGUAUGAAGAAGGCCUUCGGGUUGUAAAGUACUUUCAGCGGGGAGGAAGGCGAUAAGGUUAAUAACC
rnacentral:rRNA from 1 species